GAAUCCCCGUGGCCAGGUCUGUGAGCUCCAUCAUCAGAUGAGGUCCUGCGAGAUGCUUCACAAGUCUCCGAUCCACAGAGAAAACAGCUCUGGGUUUGGGGGCCCCUCGAGAGAAAGGCCACCCACAGCCUCACUACCCAGGGACCCCUGGCGACAAGCUUUUGAUCAAGCUUUUGACCUACACAGGAGUGAAGGCCUGGCAUCUUAGUAUAAGAACCACGUGCUUGCCAGGGAUGCCAGGCUGAGCUUCGGGGCUCACCUCUGCCCAUUCCUGUCCCCACCCAAAGUGAUGUCACCCAUCCUUCAGGUGUGCCAGCCCAGGGCUCAGACUGCCCUCGGUGUCCACCCUUCCUCUCGGCUCACUCCCUUCCAUGCAUCCUCCUGAAGAAAGGACUGAGGCCAGCGUGGAAAUAGGAAAUGCACCAAAACUCGUGGAUGUAUAGUUCAGUGUACUGUAGAAAGAUGUGCACUGAGCCCAGGGUGGUGGUGUACCCCUGCCAUCCACCCCAGCACCCUGGGAGGAUGAGGCAGGAGGGUCAGAAGUGUGAGCCCAGCCUGGCAACUUAGCAAGAUCCAGCUUCAAAAUAGAAGUUUUAAAAAUGGAAGUGGAGGACAGAGCUCAGUGCGAAGGCCCUGGAUCAAGUCCUCCCAGUAACAGCAACAGUGAUGCGAUCAAGCAGCAAACCACUCGAUGGAUCCCCCGAGAUGUCACGGCCCCCCACAAAGCCCCUGGAAGUGGAAUGUGCUGCUCACUGGAAACGUUGGGCACAGUCAGGCUAUGCCACCCUCGCUCCGCCACGAAGCCCAUCAUGGGCUCUCGGUUCCUCCCCUGAGAGCAGUGGCACAAGGUGCUCGCCAGGGCGGGGGGGGGACAAGCACUCCCAUUGCGACUUCCAAGGAACACACCUCACAGGCGGGGCCCCGCACCUCCGGGGGCCCUGGGAACAUCCCCAUCCCCCAAGAGCACCAGGACCACAGCUCGGCCAGAGGGGGCACCUGGACUUCCACUUGGAGAGCAGUCGGGACAGCUGGUCCCCGCUGUCAACAUCACAGGAUGUCCAAUGCUAGCUGGGGAAGCAUCCCUCCGGACGGUCAGUGGGGGUUCUCUGCAAGAGACCAGCAUGGCUUGGUGGGCGGUGGGGCAGGGGGGCAGCCCAUGCCAGGGCCUGGAAGGAUCACAAGGCUGAGACAGGCUGGCCCAUCCCCAUGACCACGCGUGAGCAGCCAGGAUGAGGGAGUGAGAAGGGGGGAGGGGGCUGCGCACCCACCCCUAGCUCUUGGCUUCACACCUGGGCUGGAGGCCACACCACGCCACCUGGUGUGCAGAGCAUAGCUGUCUCUGCUUCUGCAGGUGUGGGGUCCGCCCUUGAGAGUGUCUUUCUGAGUAUAGACAGGUGCUGACCUGCAGGGAUGGAGACUGAAAUGAGGGGGAGGUGUCUCGCGCUGUUGAACCUGCUCCCUUCACCCCAGCUCUGCCCUACAUGGGUCUCUUAGGCCCAGAUGACACCCCAGCCGGCCUUUCCAGAGGUCUUGCCACUCGGGGUCCACCCCUCCCACCCAGGCCAAUCCCUGCCAUCCCUCAGACCCAGGGGACAUGCACACGUCCAUGGGGUGUGGGAGAGACAGAGGAAGAGGCUGGUCCACGCCCUCACCACCCCGUCGCCUCCACCCGUAGGAGGCAGAGGUGCUGGGGAAAGGAGUCUCUCCAUGGACUGAGGCUGGCACAACGGCCACUGUGCGGGCCUGGAGUGUGACCGGUCCCAAAGGUCACAGGGCUCGUGAGCUUUGCGGAUCAUUUCUCUAUCAACCCAGAGGCUGAAAAUGGAUCUCACAAGAAAGGAAAGAGAAACAUAUUCAGGGCAAGCCCACAGGAAGCAAAGCAAAGAUUGAAGAGUCCUUGCUUUCAGGGACACAGAUGUCACACACGAAAUUGCCCAGCGCAGUGCCGGGUCAGCCCCGGCCACGCCCCUGUCACACACCACCUUCGGCCCCAUGGGGCCAGAGCUGGGCACAGAACCCUCCCAGCUCCCUGACCCUCCACCCCAGGGCUAGACGUGUACUGGGCUGCGUGCUCCCAAAGCUGUUCUGGUUACAUGACAAAAAUAGAAAGCCUAGACUGCGUAUGAAAGAGAUUUUUUACAGUACAUAUUCACAAAGUGACUAUUUACAUUCCAUAUUCAUGAAAUGAAUAUUCACGAGCGUAGUAGCAGAUGCCUGGGAUCUCAGCUUUCAGGAGGCUGAGACAGGAGGAUCACUGUGAGUUUGAGGCCAGCCUGGGCUACAUCAUGAGUUUAAGGCCAGUCUGAACUGCCUAAGGAGACCCUGUCUCAAAAACAAAACAAACCGGGCCAGGAAUUUAACUCAGUGGCAAACUCAAGGUCAUGAGUUUGAUCCCCAACACCAAAAUCAAACAAAUAAACAAAAAUGACAUGUUCAUGGAUGGUGGCUUGAGGAGCAAUACCAGAACAAGCGGAAGGAAGGGCGAGGAGGGGCAGAGAGGGGUGGCGCGGAGCUCCCACAUCUCACAUGACAACAGGGCCAUGUGGCUUGUUGAGCUCCAGGUGCUCCAGGUGAGCCAGGCCUAGCCAGAGCCAAGCCCACCAAGCCCAGGGCCAGGGUGCCUCUGCCUGGGCCCUGGGGUUCCCAAGCACCCACCAACUGUUCCGCGCAGCCUGGUCCCAGCCCACCAGCUCCCUCGCCUGCCGUCCUGAGAUACAGCUCCCAGUGAGCAUGGGAUGAGCAUCUCGAGGGAGCAGGUAGCUCCCAGCCCUGCUGAGGCUAAGGCGGAGGCCCAUGGAGUCUUCGCACUCUGAGACACCAGACCGGCACAGCUGCCUGCCUGCCAUCUCCUCGGUGACCCAAGGUGUGAGGCAGGAGUCACCCUGGGUGCCACUGGGCCCAGCUCACCCUGAAUACUGGGACACCGGUGUCACUCCAGCUGGCCAGCAAGAGCAAAGCUGGGCACUUUGGGUGGCCUCAGUGUCUGUACAGUGGAGGGAGCUUGGCUGAUGUAUUUAUUGACUUUCUGGCAGGACUGGGACCUUCACGCUGAGCCAGGUCCUGGUGCUUUUCUCACUCGUGUUGAGACAGAGUCUCGACAGGUUGUUAAAUUGUCCAGCCUGGCCUCAAAUUUAUAACUCUCCUGUUGAGACAGGAGAGUAGCAGGAAGACAGGCAUGCACCACCAUGCCCAGCUCAUUUUCAGACUAUGUAACCCACAUGCAUGAAAAAUAUUUAAGGGCAUACUGGUGUAGCUUGGUGCAACUGACGCCAUCUUGAGCCCUGCAUUUAACUCGUGCUCUGUAUUUGACCCAGGAAAUAGAAAAGUACUCAGGAUACAAGUCCCAUAAGAAAAACAGAUUGAGCUGUACCAACAGGAAAAAAAUUAACCUGCUCAACAAAAUCAGCAGGAUACAGGUGUCAACCAAAAAUUGAUGAAAGAUUAGAGCUAAAUUGUUUCCAACAGGAUGUGUUUUGUGAUUCUCUGUUUUAAAAGCUCUGUAACUUUCCAGUUUGGGGCCAUUUGUUUGGACCCUAAACCAGGGAGGUCUGUAUAGGACUGGUCCUGAGCUCAGUUAAUUAAAUUCCAGAUUCAUCAAUUUGGCUGCUCAGAUUCCUAUAUUGUUGCUCUCAUACCCACCUCACAUAUCAUUUUAAAAAGAGAAACUAAAAGUUCCACAUUGCACGCCUCCCCUGCCGUGGAGUGCAACCUAGGCUGAUCCUCCACUGGAUCUUAAAGUCCUAAUUAUUUUUCUGUUAAAGGAACAAUGUUGCACCAAGGCCUGUUUCCUGGCUUGGCCACAUAUGAAGGGAAAAAGUCUUCAUUUGUAACAAACAUAGACUGAAAUAUUUAGGCAAAAAUAAAAACUGAAAUUUUCUCUGUAUCUGAGGUGGGAAGGGGUACAGAUGUGGUUAAAUGUUAAGAACUGGAAAACUAAGUGACAGGCAUGAUGGGAAUUUUCUGCAGGGCUUUGUGGCCUCCCAGGAGCCUGCGGUACUGCAGAGGGAGAUGAACACGGCAUGGCAAGGUUUCCUGUGUCACCACUGUGUCCUUCAAAGGCUGCUGCGUGCUCUGUUAUCCGGGUGAUCGAGGGGCAUUCCACUGCUUAGCCUGGGUCUUGAGACCAGUUUUCAGUGCAAAAUUUAUAUGCAAAAACUCUCAGAUCUUAGUACUUUUAUUUUCACACAAAAUAAAGAGCCAGAGAUGAGAUUUCUGGGAGGAAAUUUUCACUAUAUUUUUAUUUUUUACAGAUCAAUUAUUUUAAUUGGCAAAUAAACAUCAUAUAUUUGUCAUGUGCAGCGUGAUGUCUUCAGAG